AUGGCUGCCUCUGCCGCAGACGAUGUUGUUGAGCUUGCGAUCACCUCACUUCCCCUAGAGACGCGGUUCCCGCCGUUCCGUCUGAGGCAAUAUGGUGGGUUCUGGCUGGUGGAGAAGUUCCUCAAGGGUGUUCUAGCCGUCCAUUCGGUCGUCGAGACAAGGCCGUCGGAUGUCCUCCUCGGUAGCUUCCCCAAGUGCGGCACCACCUGGCUCAAGGCCCUCGCCUUCGCCACACGCAACCUGGUUGAGCACUCGCCCCAUGACCUCCACCACCCGCUCCGGCGUUGCAACCCCCACGACAUGGUCCGGUACAUGGAGAUAGAGUUCGGGCGGUUGUUGGACGACGGUGGAGCAGACGACGUGUUCGUGGCGCUCCCCUCACCGCGCUUGCUCGCCACACACCUGCCCUACUCUCUCCUGCCACGGCGCAUCACCGCGGAGGAGUCCAGAGGAAUAAGUGUCAUGUACAUCUGCCGGGACCCAAAGGACGCAUUCAUUUCCUCGUGGUUCUUCACCAUGAAGGAGGCGGCGGCCACGGCUGCUCGAGCACAAGCCGGCGAGGACACGGACAAGCAGCAGACGGAGCCGGCGCCGUACACAUUCGAAGAGGCGUUCGAGCUGUUCUGCGACGGCAAAUGUGUCAACGGCCCGCAGUGGCGCCACGUGGUGGGCUACUGGGAGGAGAGCAGGAGGCGGCCGGAGAAGGUGCUCUUCCUCCGGUACGACGAGAUGCUUUGGAACCCCGCGAGGAACGUGAAGAAGCUGGCGGAGUUCAUGGGGUGCAUCUUCUCCCGCAAGGAGGAGGCCGAUGGAGUGGUGCAGGCCAUCGUGGAGUUGUGCAGCCUCGAGAGCCUGAAAAACAUGGCCGUGAACAAGAGUGGCAGCCAUGGUCCUGGAGCAACCACAUCACACCGGCAAUGGCGGAGCGGCUGGACAAGAUCGUCGAGGAGGCACUGCAAGGCUCUGGGUUCAGCUUCGCCGUCGCAGAAUCGUCCUGGUGAAUGUGCUAGCGACAUGCAUGGAUGCAUGCAUCAGCAUGCAUGA
rnacentral:rRNA from 1 species